rnacentral:lncRNA from 1 species
AUUUAUUGUGUUUUCUAUUAUUUCAGGCAGGGAAAUUGACUCUAAAAAGCAAGAAAUGAUACCCAUGCAAUAUAUCUGUAGAAGAGACACAUCUACUAUCAUACCAUUGAGAUCUCACAUCAUUCCAAAGGAAUCUUUUAAAUGUAGUGAUUUCCAAGAAGAUAUCACUCACAGAUCCUCAGUAACUCAAC